UCCUGAUGAGGUUGGAUGACCCUUUCCUCCUGCUUCAGCAAUCUGACCAAUUCUGCAGGGAGUUCACAGUCUUCCUCACUCUCCUCUUCAGCUUGGUAGAUGGGAUUGUCGAAAUCAUACUGAGCCAUAACAGAACUGUUCAUAGUGAAUGCCAUAAGAUCGCUUCUGCAUGUUUGAUGCUUUGUUUUAGAAAAAGAGUUCAAUAAAGUCACAAAAACAAAAAACAUUGCCAUUUUUAUUGUUUUUGAAAAAGAAAAAUGAAAACAAAAAAUAGAAAGACAAGGAUCACAAAGUUUGUUCAAAAAAUGUCCUUCAUUAAUGAUAAUCAUUAAAACAUGAUGAGGCCCUACAAAAAUGAAUCACUACGCCUUGGGCAGAACGUAGGAUUUUCAUGCAAAAUGACAAAACAACAGAAAAUUACUCUGUCAGAAGAGUAACUUGAACCACUUCUUCAGCCGUCCAGUUGUUGAUAGACCCCCCUGGUGCACACGGGCGAACCCAGUUGUCCAAAUCACAAUCACUGUCACAGUCUUCACUACCGGUUGCAGAGACGUCGCCAUGAUUCAUCAGCCCAGCGCUGGUAAAGGUACUCGGACCCGCUUGACCAUUCUGCUCUGCUUGG
rnacentral:lncRNA from 1 species